GUCGGUGUCCCACCCACCUAGAGGAGCCUGUUCUAUAAUCGAUAAUCCUCGAUAUACCUCACCAUUUCUUGCUACUCAAACUGUAUACCUCCGUCGUAAGCUUACCGUUUGAAUGCUAAAAAGUAAGUUUAAUGAUUAUUCAUCAACACGUCAGGUCAAGGUGCAACCAAUGAAACGGAAAGCAAUGGGCUACAAUCUCUAUAAUAGAACACACGAAACACUACACGAAAAAUAGUCAUGAAGGCGGAUUUAGUAGUAAAAGAAGAAUAGCGUGCUUCUUUAAACAAGGCGCUGGGACGUGUACAAACCGCCCGUCACCCUCUUCAAUAGCAUAACCUAAUUUAUAACUCUCAAAAGCACUUUAGAAGAGGCAAGUCGUAACAUGGUAAGUGUACUGGAAGGUGCACUUGGCAAAUCAAAAUGUAGCUUAAAUAAAGCAUCUCGCUUACACCGAAAUAAUGUCUGUUUAACCCAGAUCAUUUUGAA
rnacentral:rRNA from 1 species